CCGGGGUCGGGCUCUGCUGCUGCCUGGCGGCGUGUUGCAGUUAUUGCAGCACUGGCCGGCUGCCCCUACCUCCCCAAGGGCCUGGCCUUGGUUUACUUCCUUCACAGCGGAUGCCCAGGGGUUUAAGAGAUGACAAAUCUACUUCCGCCCUGGAGGAGGAACCUCCCCUCCAAUGAGUGGCCAGUCAUUAUCAGUGACUUUCGAACUCUCCCGAAGCCAGCUGCCACGCUGUAAGGACACUCAAGCAGCCAUAUAGAGACACCCAUGCAGUGAGGAAAUGAGGCCUCUAACCAACAGUCAUGGAAGUGAGCUAGUCAUUUUGGAAGUGGAUCCUCUUGCCUCAUCAAGACUUUAGAUGACUUCUCCAACCUUUUGACUAUAACCUCAUGGAUUCCCUGAGCCAGACCACCCAGCUAAGCCUUGCCUGAAUUCCUUACCCACAGAAACUGUGAGAUAAUAAAUACUUACUGUUUUAA